rnacentral:rRNA from 1 species
AUACGGAGGAUCCGAGCGUUAUCCGGAUUUAUUGGGUUUAAAGGGUGCGCAGGCGGCCAUUUAAGUCAGCGGUUAAAUCGUGGGGCUCAACCCCAUUCUGCCGUUGAUACUGGGUGGCUUGAUUGCGGUCGAGGUUGGCGGAAUUCGUUGUGUAGCGGUGAAAUGCAUAGAUAUGACGAAGAACACCGAUUGCGUAGGCAGCUGACCAGAUCGCAAAUGACGCUCAUGCACGAAAGUGCGGGGAUCGAACAGGAUUAGAUACCCUGGUAGUCCGCACAGUAAACGAUGAAUACUUGUUUUCGGCGAUAUAAUGUCGGAGGCAAAGCGAAAGCGAUAAGUAUUCCACCUGGGGAGUACGCCGGCAACGGUGAAACUUAAAUGAAUUGGCGGGG